rnacentral:lncRNA from 1 species
GACAAAAGGACAAGGUUGGUGGAAAGGGACAAGACAAAAGACUUUUUGUUGUAAUUGAUUUUUUUAAUUUUUUUUUGUAAUUUAAUUUUUUUUGUAAUUUUUUUGUAAUAAAUUAUAUGAAACUUAAUGCAAAUGCCAAUUUAAAUGUAAUAUAAUUUUUUUUUAAUUUUCAAUGCUUUGUAAUAUAAUAUGAAAAAAGUAUUAUAAAACUAUAACAA